rnacentral:rRNA from 1 species
UAUACCGUAGCUUGCUACACCAUAGACUGUGAGUUGCGAACGGGUGAGUAACGCGUAGGUAACCUGCCUAUUAGAGGGGGAUAACUAUUGGAAACGAUAGCUAAUACCGCAUAACAGUAUGUAACACAUGUUAGAUGCUUGAAAGAUGCAAUUGCAUCGCUAGUAGAUGGACCUGCGUUGUAUUAGCUAGUAGGUAGGGUAAAGGCCUACCUAGGCAACGAUACAUAGCCGACCUGAGAGGGUGAUCGGCCACACUGGGACUGAGACACGGCCCAGACUCCUACGGGAGGCAGCAGUAGGGAAUCUUCGGCAAUGGGGGGAACCCUGACCGAGCAACGCCGCGUGGGUGAAGAAGGUUUUCGGAUCGUAAAGCUCUGUUGUUAAGGAAGAACGAGUGUGAGAAUGGAAAGUUCAUGCUGUGAC